rnacentral:tRNA from 1 species
GAGGAUAUGGCUCAAGCAGAAGAGUGCAUGCUUGGCAUGUAGGAAAUCCUGGGUUCAAUCCCCAGUACCUCCU